rnacentral:rRNA from 1 species
GAUGAACGCUGGCGGCGUGCUUAACACAUGCAAGUCGAACGGGAAACCUUUUAUUGAUUCUUCGUCAGGUUUAGCUGUUUUCUAGUGGCGGACGGGUGAGUAACGCGUGGUUAACCUUCCUUAUUCAGGUGGAUAACCACCAGAAAUUGUUGCUAAUACCGCAUAAGCGCACAGGACCGCAUGUUCCGGUUUGAACGACUCCGUGGGUAUAAGUUGGAUCCGCGUUGGAUUAGCUAGUUGGCAGGGUAACGGCCUACCCAGUCGACGAUCCAUAGCAGGCCAGAGAGGGUGAGCGGCAACAUUGGGAGUGAGACACGAGCGAGAAACAUACGGGAGGCAGGAGAGGGGGAUAUAGCAAAAUGGGGGAAACGAAGAAGGAGCGACGGCGGGUGAAGGAAGAAGUAUCGCAGUAAGUAAAGCUCUAUAAGCAGGGAAGAUAGUGACGGUACCUGAAUAAGAAGCCCCGGCUAACUACGUG